GGCACCAGGUUCCACCCUUUCAGCAUUGUGUAGCUACACUCUGAGAUCUUGUUCUUUCUCCCUCCACCUCUCAUCACUUCCCAGGCACUGGAACACCUAAAAGGGGAAGUCUUACCUGGCACCAGAGGAAUAUGAAUUAGAUAGAAAUCUAGACAAGAUUGGAGCUGAGAUGCCUGAUUCUUCGGUCAGCUUUACCUUCCCUCAGCUCUGUGAUACUGGGCAAGCCAGACUCCACCUGCCAAGAGAAGGCUGCGCCCAGUGACCCAUGCAUCUUCCUGUAUUUCCUUAGGAUAGAUCCUCAGGAGUCAGAAAAGUUACACAAAAGGAGUCUAUCUGGAUUGGACUAUGGGCCAGGAUCAAGAGGCCAGGAAGGAUGAAGGUCAUGUCCGGAGGCAAAAUGGAAAGGGACAACUGUGCAGCCAGUCCAAUCAAUGUAUCAACGUGGAGGGCCUGGGAGGAACAGCAAAAUCCAGAGAUAAGGCAAUAGACAAGACACCAGGGACGAUAAACUGUAUUUAGAAUGAAAGGUACCUUCUGUAACUUAAAUCCUGGAGUGGUGACCAGAGUCUCAGGUGAGCUUUAAAGGGUUCUAAGCCAUCUCAGAUUCUUUUCCAUUGCUUUUGCAAAAGACACUAAUGACAAACAGCCCAUGAAUAAAUGAGAGUUCCAGUGAAACCACUGUGAAUGAGUGAAUUAUUUUACCAUGAACAGGUUAGCAUUGGAUGUUACUAUUUUUAAAUUGUUAACUGAUGAAAUAUAAACUGGUAAUAUAAAAGUUGCUUUAAUUGUUAUUAUGAAUCCAAAGUCUAGAAGCACCUGGCAAGCUUAUUUAAUAAAUGCUUA